AUUGCCACAUUGCUGUCUGAUAUCAAGAGGAGUGUAAAUUAAACCUCGACUGUUUUAAAAGCGUUUUAAAGAAAACUUUAGGAAUAUCUAAAGCCUGUGUCGUCAUUGGCAAAGAAAGUCUGUCUUCCACGCCGACCUUGCGUCGGGAGUUGGAUUACUCUGUUGAAGUUGAAGUUUAAAAUCGGCAGGAAUAUUGUGACGCUGCGGUUGUGCAACCGAAGACCACGUCCAUUUCAUUGGAAGAGCUAUGAUUACAGACGUGUUGAAGUUGUUUUUUAUCGGGACAGCGUUCACUGUCCUCGCUGCGCUGAUGGGAAUGGUGGAUUCAUUUGGUGGUCUCAUGUAUGUCCAAGACGCGGAUCCUGCAGACUAUUUACAGUUGGACAGCAGUACUGACAGAAGGAUGUCUUCAAACCAUUCGAGAGGUUCCGGGAGUAACAAACGCAUUGGAUCAUGAUGAGGACGUCAUGUGGAGGAGAAUUAAAUAGAUUUCUUGACUAUUUUGGGAAGGGAGUGGGCACGAACAGGCUUGACUUGUCAUGUUUUUGUUUGUCAAUUACUGCUUGCACUGUAUAAUGUGUACACUGAUUUUUACAAUAACAUUCUUGAGUCUUAAAACAUGAUUCGCUUUCAGUUUAACUAGUUGGUGUCCCACUCCCACUGGGCAAAAACUGGUUGAAUCAACGCUGUUACCACGUCAUUUCAACCCCCCAAAAAAUCAAUGUGAUGACGUUGAAUGACCGUGGAAAACUGAUUGGAUUUGCAAAAAGUCAGCAACAUAAGAGCAUUUUGUAUUUUGUUCCCCCAACUUUUAACCGAAAUCCAAUGACAUGGUGACAUUUUUUUGUUGAAUUGUGUAAUUCAAAACUAGACGUUGAACUGUGCGCAGUGUGGUUUGAUUUAUACACGUCACUACGGAUUUGAUGAGUUGUUUAACUUGUUUUGCACGUUUGAAGAACACCCUAGUUUAUGUUUAUAGUAGGCUAUUACUAAAGUACUAGGUCAUAUUGACAGCUAUUACUAUGUAGCGCUAUCAACUCUAUACUAUACUAUACUAUACUAUACUAGACUAAUACUUGGUAAGGCAGCAGGUAGAGCGUUGGGGCAGUAACAGAAAGAUCGCUGGUUGGAAUCCCCUUGCCGACUAAGGGAAAAAAACUGUGUGCCCUUGAGCAAGUUACUUAAUUUAGCAAACGCUAAGUCACUCUGGAUAGCAGCGUCUGCUAAAUGACUAAAAUGUACUUAUCUGUAUACAUGGUUUUGCCUAUAUCAUGUAGGCUAUUUGUUGUAUAUUGAAGAUCACAUACAGGGUAAAAAAAAAAGAAAAGAAGAAAGCUACAUUAUGCACACAUUGGCUGUAUAUCAUGCACUGCAAUAUUGUGUUAUAAAAAAAUAAACACUUUUUAUAGGCUAUUGUGAAUUAAAUGAAUUGACACUA